rnacentral:rRNA from 1 species
UACGUAGGGGGCAAGCGUUGUCCGGAUUCAUUGGGCGUAAAGAGCGUGUAGGCGGCCAGGUAGGUCGGUUGUGAAAACUGGAGGCUCAACCUUCAGAGGUCGACCGAAACCAUCUGGCUAGAGUCCGGGAGAGGAGAGUGGAAUUCCCGGUGUAGUGGUGAUAUGCGUAGAUAUCGGGAGGAACACCUGUGGCGAAGGCGGCUUUCUGGGCCUUACCUGACGCUGAGACGCGAAAGCGUGGGGAGCGAACCGG